CCUGAUGAUGAACCUUCCCCUCAUCUGAAUGAUGAUGAGCACACCGGUAGGCUGAGGU
rnacentral:snoRNA from 1 species